rnacentral:rRNA from 1 species
UACGUAGGGAGCAAGCGUUGUCCGGAAUCAUUGGGCGUAAAGCGCGCGUAGGUGGCUUCGUAAGUCCGUUGUGAAAGUCAAAGGCUCAACCUUUGAAAGCCGAUGGAUACUGUGACGCUAGAGUACGGAAGAGGCGAGUGGAAUUCCUGGUGUAGCGGUGGAAUGCGCAGAUAUCAGGAGGAACACCAAUAGCGAAGGCAGCUCGCUGGGACGUUACUGACACUGAGGCGCGAAAGCGUGGGGAGCGAACAGG